rnacentral:rRNA from 1 species
UACGUAGGUGGCAAGCGUUACUCGGAAUCACUAGGCGUAAAGCGCAGGUAGGAGGUUUGGUAAGUCUGUUGUGAAAGCUCCCGGCUUAACUGGGAGAGGUCAACGGAAACUGCUAGGCUAGAGUGCGGUAGAGGUAGCUGGAAUUCCCGGUGUAGCGGUGAAAUGCGUAGAUAUCGGGAGGAAUACCUAUGGCGAAAGCAGGCUACUGGACCGUCACUGACUCUGAUCUGCGAAAGCUAGGGGAGCAAACAGG